rnacentral:lncRNA from 1 species
AGGUUGAUGUCCUGUACUUGGCACGUGGGGAGCUCAGCCAGAACAUAUCUGGCUCAUGUCCCUUCAAGGACGCUUAGUUCUCAGGAGACUUCUUGAGGAUGCCCAUUUUUGAAAGAGACUUCACAGCCUGGUUCCUCUUCUUUGGAUCAAUUCAAACGUUCACUCCGUUUUAACCACUCGAGUGCUUCUCAGGACCACCAUGAUCAGCGAGGGCAGAGAUAGACCAUGAACAGACAGAAACAAGAAAACAAGCAGAUGGGUUCAGACCCUGAGGACAAUGACAAGGUCAUUGUAUGUAUCCACAUGGAACUUAUAAAGGGAA